rnacentral:lncRNA from 10 species
ACACCCCCAGGUUCCCGGAAGUCUGGAAAGUUUGCCGGCUUCCGCAGUGAUGGAUCACCGUUUUAGUGGCAUUUAAAUCCCCGGCGCUCCGCCGUCUAGGUGACGCGCAGUCGCCCCCCCAGGCAGCCUAGGCGGCGGCAGCUGCUGCGGCGACUGCAAAGGCCGAUUUGGAGUGCUGGAGCGAAGAAGAGCAAAAGCUGCGUUCUGCGCGCGCCCGACUCCGCUGCCCGCCCCGCCAGGCCUCCGGGAGGUGGGGGCUGGGAGGCGUCCCCCGCUCCCGCCCCCUCCCCACCGUUCAAUGAAAGAUGAACUGGCGAGAGGGCUAGAAAGGAAAGGAAUAAGGAGGAGAUAAAAUGACGCCGAGGCCCUGAACUGUUCAUGGCAUCCGCGGCUCAGCCAAGCUGUUGUUUUAAAAGAGCAAUAAAAAUGAAUUAUGACUAAACGCCUUCUAACUUAAUGCUUUCGGACGGGGAUCCCCGGCAAAUAACGUAAGAGGAUUUUUAUUUGUGCAUGUGUUCCUGCAAUUGAUCUCUUUGAUGACAUUCUCAUUCAUAGAAAGCGUUUGAUUUAUGAGCGUAGGACGAAUCGCAUCCAGGAGCUGCGCAGCCCUGGCCGCUGCCGGGACGCCCUGCUCCGCGCUGAGCUUGGGGCCAGAAACCAGCCAUAGUCCCCACACUCCGCCGCCGCAGCUGAGAUUUAGCGGAGGAAGGGGCGAGGGAAGGUAGGGAGCAAACCUAUGAAGAAACAUCGCGUUGUCAUUGGAACUUCCAAGCCUUUGCUGUUAAGAGCCAGGUUCUUAAAUCAACCCGCCCCACACACAUGUUGCUUACAUGCUGCGUUUUCUCACGGUCUGUUUUGCCUGAACCCAUCAACAGCUGGGAGAUUAAUCAACCACACUGAAAAUGUGGAGGGAUUUAUGGGGGAGGGGGUUGAAAUGUGGGUGUUUGAAACAAAAGUGUAUAAACAAAUGAAUUGUUGAUAACUUAGUUAUUGACCUGGAGACUGGUAGCUUAUUAAAGAAACUCCGUGUUACUCAUUCCUGGAGUUGGGGGUUUCUGUAGGCACUUUAUUUCUCCACUUUCAAGAGCUUGGGCUUGGCCCAAAUCUUAGACUGUCCAAUUCUGCCUCUAUUACCAAUUUAAAUCUAUGGCUUGAACCUGUGCACUGAAAAUCAAAUCCUUUAAAAAGAAAGAGGAGAAGAAGAAGCAAAAAAGAAAGAAAAAAC